AUGGACUUAAUUGCCCCAUUGCAUGUGGGAUCUUAGCUCCCUGACCAGGAAUCAAACUCGCAGCCUCUGCAUUGUAAGGCAAAGUAUUAACCACUGGACCACCAGGGAAG